GGGCUGUGUGUGUGUGUGUGUGUGUGUGUGUGUGGCUUCAGAGGGCUUCUAGGCACACAGCC
rnacentral:pre_miRNA from 14 species